CUUCAUGAUGGAGAACUCUCUUUCCAGCAAUCUUGAUAUCCAACGGAAUAUGGCGGCUCCAAAAGAUCGUGUGAAGAAUGGAAAUCACGUUAGUGCAAAUUUUCAUCUUUUACGGAAAAGUUCGAUUGCAGACGGAGCAUCCAUAUCCAAGCCACCCAAGGAUCGGUUGCAGCUGGUGAGUCUCCAUUCAAGCAUGAAUCUAUCUGCAUUGUCCCCAGGCAGCAACUCCAUGCUUAAGUCCACGAGUGACAACCCAUUCAAUGAAGAUUCGCUCAGUUCCUGUCCCAGUGCUUCCGGGCCGCUGCAACUACUUGAAACAAAGAGACAAUCUAGAUGAACAGACCCAAGUAGCGCCCAAAUGCCCCAACAUCCCAAUCCAUAUUUUCUCGCCUAGUAAUUCACCAUCCCAAUUCAUAUUUUCUCGCUUAGCAGUUCACUGUCCGGAUCAUAUCAUGUUGAAAUCACAUGUCGUUUGCAUCAUCUCUUCUGUAAAUGCUUUGUCAAAUUCUUGUUGCUUGUGGGCCGGAUUCAAGAAAUUUUGUGAAAGAAAAAUUCAGUUUCGGGGCUCACUUUGGACAGUUGGUAAGCAUUACUUUGUGCUAUUAAGGUGCAUAUCUAUGAACUUUGCUUUUGAUAAUGAGUUGGGUUUGAUUUGAUGAGCGUUACUGCACGUGGAUUACUGUGCUAUACAUGGAUGAUUGAAAUUCAAGUUGAUACCAUGACCAAUAUAUGGAUAAUUACCCAAUGUUACAUGAAUGUCAUAUGAGGUUUUUAAGUAUUUGAUUAUUACUGACAUAUUUGAACUUUCUUUUUUGAGCUUACUAAUUAGCUUGAACUUGCAUUGUUUUUUCUUCCAGGUUACAUUCAGUGGGGUACUUGAUGGAUAUCUGCAUGCGCAAUGUAGGUUUGGCUUAUCUGGAGCAGGGAAAAGGAUACCAUUUUACUAAUAGGUUGUUGCUGUUGAGGGGGGAGCUUUGGGUGGUAUGGUCAGGCAGCUUUCCAUUGAUCAGUUUGAAAAUGAAGGCCAGUGGGUUAGCUAUGUGGUACUCCAGAGAA